rnacentral:rRNA from 1 species
CGAGCGCAACCCUUGUCCUUAGUUGCUACCAUUAAGUUGAGAACUCUAAGGAGACUGCCGGUGACAAACCGGAGGAAGGUGGGGAUGACGUCAAGUCCGCAUGGCCUUUAUGUCCAGGGCUGCACACGUGCUACAAUGGUCGGUACAGAACGAUGCAAUACCGCAAGGUGGAGCAAAUCGCAAAAGCCGGCCCCAGUUCGGAUUGCAGGCUGCAACUCGCCUGCAUGAAGUUGGAAUCGCUAGUA